CUUAUAGACGAGCGCGUUAGAAUGCACGGACUGCCAAAUCAUACGCAUUAGACACCUUGUUAAAAUGCUGCACACGCAGUUAAUCAUUUUCUCUGAAAAGCUGUUUGCAAACUUACAGCUUGGACUGCAACCCCUAAUUGUUUGUACAGGAAAAAUUCAUUCGAUACAACGUCUACAUUAUUUUGCAUUGUCGCUUACAACACAUAUAAUCUUUCGUAAAUUUAGAACUUACCUACAGGAUACCGUAACUUCAAUCUUAGUUGCAGAACAUAUACCUAAUCCCGAUUCCGUCGCUAAACCGCACGCGUCUUCACAGAGCCGACGGCGUGGAUACCUGACAGAGAGGUGGAGUCAGUAUCGCAUCUGAGACGCGAUGAGUACACUACAAGCAAGAAAAAAGCAUAUGCUACUAAAGAAAACCACAGAAAGUUUCAAAUACACUAUUUGACCUAGAAACGCAUUCGUUUUUCAUUACGACCAGA